AGAGUUUGAUCCUGGCUCAGGAUGAACGCUAGCGGCAGGCCUAACACAUGCAAGUCGAACGGUAAGGUCCACUUCGGUGGAUACACGAGUGGCGCACGGGUGAGUAACGCGUAUGCAACCUACCCUUAACAGGGGGAUAGCCCGAAGAAAUUCGGAUUAAUACCCCAUAAUACUAUAAAUAUCAUUUAUUUAUAGUAAAAACUCCGGUGGUUAAGGAUGGGCAUGCGUGACAUUAGAUAGUUGGUAAGGUAACGGCUUACCAAGUCUACGAUGUCUAGGGGGUCUGAGAGGAUGGUCCCCCACACUGGUACUGAGACACGGACCAGACUCCUACGGGAGGCAGCAGUGAGGAAUAUUGCGCAAUGGACGAAAGUCUGACGCAGCCAUGCCGCGUGCAGGAUGACGGCCCUACGGGUUGUAAACUGCUUUUAUACAGGAAGAAAACCAUGCUCGUGAGCGUGGUUGACGGUACUGUAGGAAUAAGCAUCGGCUAACUCCGUGCCAGCAGCCGCGGUAAUACGGAGGAUGCAAGCGUUAUCCGGAUUUAUUGGGUUUAAAGGGUGCGUAGGCGGAAUAAUAAGUCAGUGGUGAAAUCCUGCUGCUUAACUGUAGAACUGCCAUUGAUACUGUUAUUCUUGAAUAUAGUUGAGGUAGGCGGAAUGUGUAAUGUAGCGGUGAAAUGCAUAGAUAUUACACAGAACACCGAUUGCGUAGGCAGCUUACUAAGCUAUUAUUGACGCUGAGGCACGAAAGCGUGGGGAUCGAACAGGAUUAGAUACCCUGGUAGUCCACGCUGUAACGAUGAUCACUAGCUGUUGGCGAUACACCGAUCAGCGGCAAAGCGAAAGCAUUAAGUGAUCCACCUGGGGAGUACGGUCGCAAGAUUGAAACUCAAAGGAAUUGACGGGGGCCCGCACAAGCGGAGGAACAUGUGGUUUAAUUCGAUGAUACGCGAGGAACCUUACCUGGGCUUAAAUGCAGGACGACGUCCCGAGAAAUCGGGACUCUCUUCGGAGCGGACUGCAAGGUGCUGCAUGGUUGUCGUCAGCUCGUGCCGUGAGGUGUCGGGUUAAGUCCCAUAACGAGCGCAACCCCUAUCGUUAGUUGCCAGCGAGUCAAGUCGGGGACUCUAACGAAACUGCCGGUGUAAACCGAGAGGAAGGUGGGGAUGACGUCAAAUCAGCACGGCCCUUAUGUCCAGGGCUACACACGUGUUACAAUGGUCGGUACAGAGGGUAGCUACUAUGUAAAUAGAUGCCAAUCUCGAAAACCGGUCUUAGUUCGGAUCGAAGUCUGCAACUCGACUUCGUGAAGCUGGAUUCGCUAGUAAUCGCGCAUCAGCCACGGCGCGGUGAAUACGUUCCCGGGCCUUGUACACACCGCCCGUCACACCAUGGGAGUUGGCUGCACCAGAAGCCGGUAGCUUAACCUUCGGGGGGGCGCCGACCACGGUGUGGUCAAUGACUGGGGUGAAGUCG
rnacentral:rRNA from 1 species